UGGGAAUAUUGCGCAAUGGGCGAAAGCCUGACGCAGCGACGCCGCGUGCGGGAUGAAGGUUCUCGGAUCGUCAACCUCUGUCCGCAGGGAAGACACCGCACCGUGCUAAUCAUCGUUGCCUUCACGGUUCCUUCCAAGGCAGCACCCGCUAACCCCGUGCCAGCAGCCGCGGUAAUACGGAGGGUGCAAGCGUUAAUCGGAAUUACUGGGCGUAAAGCGCACGUAGGCUGCUUUGUAAGUCAGGGGUGAAAUCCCACGGCUCAACCGUGGAACUGCCUUUGAUACUGCUUAGCUUGAAUCCGGGAGAGGGUGGCGGAAUUCCAGGUGUAGGAGUGAAAUCCGUAGAUAUCUGGAGGAACAUCAGUGGCGAAGGCGGCCACCUGGACCGGUAUUGACGCUGAGGUGCGAAAGCGUGGGGAGCAAACA
rnacentral:rRNA from 1 species